rnacentral:rRNA from 1 species
CCUACGGGUGACAGCAGUAGGGAAUAUUGCUCAAUGGGGGAAACCCUGAAGCAGCAACGCCGCGUGGAGGAUGAAGGUCUUCGGAUUGUAAACUCCUUUUGUUAGAGAAGAUAAUUACGGUAUCUAACGAAUAAUCACCGGCCAACUCCGUUCCAGCAGCCGCGGUCAUACGGAGGGUGCAAGCGUUACUCGGAAUCACUGGGCGUAAAGGGGGCGUAGGCGGGAUAGCAAGUCAGAUGUGAAAUCCUAUGGCUUAACCAUAGAAUUGCAUUUGAAACUGUUAGUCUAGAGUAUGGGAGAGGUAGGUGGAAUUCUUGGUGUAGGGGUAAAAUGCGUAGAGAUCAAGAGGAAUACUCAUUGCGAAGGCGGCCUGCUAGAACGAAACUGACGCUGAUGCGCGAAAGCGUGGGGAGCAAACAGGAUUAGAUACCCCAGUAGUC